AUGGGAGGCAUUGUGACAUAUCUCUGGGUCCAUCAACUGCUUCAUUUGACCCUCCUCUCCUACCCAUGCUUUGUCAAUUGGAGAGAUUAUGACAUAUCUCUGGAACCAGAAUCUUGGUGAUGUGACUCUUCUCUCCUGCUGAAGCCAUGCCCACACAAGGGAAAGUGACUUAUCACUGGGCCCAGCACACAGGUCUUUUCCCACAGUGAGCAUUGUGAAAUAUCACUGGGCUCAGCCACCAGGUUAUGUGACUCUUCUGCCUGUGCCCUGCUUCCAGGAAAUAUUAUGACAUCCCUCAUACAGCACCCAGGGAAAAUUGUGAUGUAUCACUGGGCCCAGCAAGAAGGCGAUGAGUUUGUUUUGCCUGCACCUUGCCCACAGAAAACAGUGGAACAUAUCCCUUGGCCUAGCACUAAGGUGAUGUUUCUUUUAUCACUGGUUCCUGGCCUCAAAAAUGAUUGUGACAUAACCCUUUCCCAGCACUCAGGUGAUGUGACCAUCCUGCUCACUGUCUACUGACAAAUGGGAUUGUAACAUACAUCUUGGCCUGGCUUACAGGUGCAAUAGUGACUCUCAUACCAGUCACCAGGAGAGAUACUGUCUCUUAUAACUAAGCUUAGAGAAAUGGGUAAGAUCCUGGGUCUCCUUUUUGUAGGAAGGUCAUAGAGAAUUUCCACUCCCUCACAUGCUGUAUAAAGCCCUCAGGUGAUACAGAGAGUGUCAUCACAGGGCCCAGCACACAGG